UGUGGGAGCGAGCCUGCUCGCGAUGGCGGUGUGUCAUUCGACGUAAAUAUUGAAUGCGCUAUCGCCAUCGCGAGCAGGCUCGCUCCCACA
rnacentral:misc_RNA from 1 species